rnacentral:rRNA from 1 species
GAUGAACGCUGGCGGCGUGCCUAAUACAUGCAAGUCGAGCGAACAGACGAGGAGCUUGCUCCUCUGACGUUAGCGGCGGACGGGUGAGUAACACGUGGAUAACCUACCUAUAAGACUGGGAUAACUUCGGGAAACCGGAGCUAAUACCGGAUAAUAUAUUGAACCGCAUGGUUCAAUAGUGAAAGACGGUUUUGCUGUCACUUAUAGAUGGAUCCGCGCCGCAUUAGCUAGUUGGUAAGGUAACGGCUUACCAAGGCAACGAUGCGUAGCCGACCUGAGAGGGUGAUCGGCCACACUGGAACUGAGACACGGUCCAGACUCCUACGGGAGGCAGCAGUAGGGAAUCUUCCGCAAUGGGCGAAAGCCUGACGGAGCAACGCCGCGUGAGUGAUGAAGGUCUUCGGAUCGUAAAACUCUGUUAUUAGGGAAGAACAAAUGUGUAAGUAACUAUGCACGUCUUGACGGUACCUAAUCAGGAAGCCACGGCUAACUACGUG